CCACUUCAAUUUGUUGCGGACAGAUAAAAUGAAUGUGGGUAUCGAUACCCCCAGCGGUGAGAAUCAUUCCUUCCCCCGCUAAAGCUUCAGUUCCAGGACCAAUAAUAAUAUCUACAUUAUCUUGAAUAUAAGGAUUUCCAGCUUUCCCAAUCUUGAAAAUCUUGCCAUCUUUAAUGCCAAUAUCUGCCUUGACAACACCCCACCAAUCGAGAAUUAAGGCAUUUGUAAUUACUAAAUCAACCGCACCAUCGGCAUUAGAAAUAGGAGAUUGUCCCAUCCCAUCACGG
rnacentral:sRNA from 1 species